rnacentral:rRNA from 1 species
UACAGAGGGUGCGAGCGUUAAUCGGAAUUACUGGGCGUAAAGCGCGCGUAGGCGGCUUUGCAAGUCGGGUGUGAAAUCCCCAGGCUUAACCUGGGAACUGCAUUCGAGACUGCAUUGCUAGAGUAUGGGAGAGGGAAGUGGAAUUUCCGGUGUAGCGGUGAAAUGCGUAGAUAUCUGGAGGAACACCGGUGGCGAAGGCGGCGUCCUGGACCAAUACUGACACUGAGUGAGCGAAAGCCAGGGGAGCAAACAGG